CAGUAGCCGCGGUAAUACGAAGGGUGCAAGCGUUACUCGGAAUUACUGGGCGUAAAGCGUGCGUAGGUGGUGGUUUAAGUCCGUUGUGAAAGCCCUGGGCUCAACCUGGGAAUUGCAGUGGAUACUGGGUCACUAGAGUGUGGUAGAGGAUAGUGGAAUUUCCGGUGUAGCAGUGAAAUGCGUAGAGAUCGGAAGGAACAUCUGUGGCGAAGGCGACUAUCUGGGCCAACACUGACACUGAGGCACGAAAGCGUGGGGAGCAAACAGGAUUAGAUACCCCUGUAGUCCCUGUCUCUAUACA
rnacentral:rRNA from 1 species